rnacentral:rRNA from 1 species
AUUUUUGAUUGACUGAGUGGCGGACGGGUGAGUAACGCGUGAAUAACCUGCCUCACACUGGGGGAUAACAGUUAGAAAUGACUGCUAAUACCGCAUAAGCGCACAGUGCUGCAUGGCACAGUGUGAAAAACUCCGGUGGUAUGAGAUGGACCCGCGUCCGAUUAGAUAGUUGGUGAGGUAACGGCUCACCAAGUCGACGAUCAGUAGCCGGCCUGAGAGGGUGAACGGCCACAUUGGGACUGAGACACGGCCCAAACUCC